GACGAACGCUGGCGGCGUGCUUAACACAUGCAAGUCGAACGGAAAGGCCCUGCUUUUGUGGGGUGCUCGAGUGGCGAACGGGUGAGUAACACGUGAGUAACCUGCCCUUGACUUUGGGAUAACUUCAGGAAACUGGGGCUAAUAACGGAUAGGAGCUCCUGCUGCAUGGUGGGGGUUGGAAAGUUUCGGCGGUUGUGGAUGGACUCGCGGCUUAUCAGCUUGUUGGUGGGGUAGUGGCUUACCAAGGCUUUGACGGGUAGCCGGCCUGAGAGGGUGACCGGCCACAUUGGUACUGAGAGACGGCCCAGACUCCUACGGGAGGCAGCAGUGGGGAAUAUUGCACAAUGGGCGGAAGCCUGAUGCAGCAACGCCGCGUGCGGGAUGACUGCCUUCGGGUUGUAAACCGCUUUCGCCUGUGACGAAGCGUGAGUGACGGUAAUGGGUAAAGAAGCACCGGCUAACUACGUG
rnacentral:rRNA from 1 species